rnacentral:rRNA from 1 species
UACAGAGGUCUCAAGCGUUGUUCGGAUUCAUUGGGCGUAAAGGGCGCGUAGGCGGCGGGGUAAGUCGGGUGUGAAAUCUCAGGGCUCAACCCUGAAACUGCACUCGAUACUGCUCUGCUUGAGGACUGGAGAGGAGACUGGAAUUCACGGUGUAGCAGUGAAAUGCGUAGAUAUCGUGAGGAAGACCAGUGGCGAAGGCGGGUCUCUGGACAGUUCCUGACGCUGAGGCGCGAAGGCCAGGGGAGCAAAGCGGG